GCACCAGUGGCGGAACGGUAGACGCGCACGCUUGAGGGGCGUGUAGAGCAAUCUGUGGAAGUUCAAAUCUUCUCUGGUGCACCA
rnacentral:tRNA from 1 species